rnacentral:rRNA from 1 species
CCCUUAGAUGUUCUGGGCUGCACGCGCGCUACACUGAUGCGCUCAACGAGUUUUAACCUUGCCUGGAAAGGUUGGGUAAUCUUUUUAAAACGCAUCGUGAUAGGGAUAGAUUAUUGAAAUUAUUAAUCUUGAACGAGGAAUUCCUAGUAAACGCAGAUCAUCAAUCUGCAUUGAUUACGUCCCUGCCCUUUGUACACACCGCCCGUCGCACCUACCGAUUGGAUGGUCCGGUGAAGCCUCGGGAUUGCGGUUCUUGCCGCUUUAUUGUGGCGUGACCGCGAGAACUUGUCUAAACCUUAUCAUCUAGAGGAAGGUGAAGUCGUAACA